UCUGGAUACCAGCUCACCUCUGUAUAUUUCCACGAUCCUUACAGGCCUGUAUGGUAUGAGGGACUGCUGGAUCUGGCAAACCUAGGUCCACACACCUGGGUUUAUGUAUAAGGAGGAUAUGGUGGAUUCGUCCCAGCGUAAUAAAGAUGCCGUCAACUCACA
rnacentral:lncRNA from 1 species